GACGAACGCUGGCGGCGUGCUUAACACAUGCAAGUCGAACGGAAAGGCCCUGCUUGCGUGGGGUGCUCGAGUGGCGAACGGGUGCGUAACACGUGAGUAACCUGCCCUAGACUUUGGGAUAACUUCAGGAAACUGGGCCUACUACCGGAUAGGAUCCCCUGUUGCAUGGUGGGGGUUGGAAAGUUUCGGCGGGUGGGGCUGGAUGCGCGGCUGACCGGCUUGUUGGUUGGGUAGUGGCUUACCAAGGCUGUGACGGGUAGGCGGCCUGAGAGCGUGACCGGCGACAAUGCGACUGCGAUACGCAGCAGACUCGUACGGUGGACAGUAGUGGGAAAUCUUGCACAGUGGGCGGAAGUCUGAUGCAGAAACGUCGCGUGCGUGAUGACGGUCUUCGGGUAGUGAACCGCUGUCGCCUGUGACGCAGCGUGAGUGACGGUAAUGGGUGAAGAAGCACCGGCUAACUACGUG
rnacentral:rRNA from 1 species